rnacentral:rRNA from 1 species
UCAUGGCUCAGGACGAACGCUGGCGGCGUGCCUAAUACAUGCAAGUCGAGCGGAGAAAUGGGAGCUUGCUCCCAUUUCUCAGCGGCGGACGGGUGAGUAACACGUGGGCAACCUGCCCUACAGACUGGGAUAACUCCGGGAAACCGGAGCUAAUACCGGGUAAUACAUAGCAUCGCAUGAUGCAACGUUGAAAGUUGGCCUUUGGCUAACACUGUAGGAUGGGCCCGCGGCGCAUUAGCUAGUUGGUAAGGUAACGGCUUACCAAGGCCACGAUGCGUAGCCGACCUGAGAGGGUGAUCGGCCACACUGGGACUGAGACACGGCCCAGACUCCUACGGGAGGCAGCAGUAGGGAAUCUUCCGCAAUGGACGAAAGUCUGACGGAGCAACGCCGCGUGAGUGACGAAGGCCUUCGGGUCGUAAAGCUCUGUUGUUAGGGAAGAACAAGUACCGUUCGAAUAGGGCGGUACCUUGACGGUACCUAACCAGAAAGCCACGGCUAACUACGUGCCAGCAGCCGCGGUAAUACGUAGGUGGCAAGCGUUGUCCGGAAUUAUUGGGCGUAAAGCGCGCGCAGGCGGUCUCUUAAGUCUGAUGUGAAAGCCCACGGCUCAACCGUGGAGGGCCAUUGGAAACUGGGGGACUUGAGUGCAGAAGAGGAGAGUGGAAUUCCACGUGUAGCGGUGAAAUGCGUAGAUAUGUGGAGGAACACCAGUGGCGAAGGCGGCUCUCUGGUCUGUAACUGACGCUGAGGCGCGAAAGCGUGGGGAGCGAACAGGAUUAGAUACCCUGGUAGUCCACGCCGUAAACGAUGAGUGCUAGGUGUUGGGGGGUUCCACCCUCAGUGCUGAAGUUAACACAUUAAGCACUCCCGCU